UGCCAGACUCCUACGGGAGGCAGCAGUGGGGGAUAUUGCACAAUGGGGGAAACCCUGAUGCAGCGACGCCGCGUGAGUGAAGAAGUAAUUCGUUACGUAAAGCUCUAUCAGCAGGGAAGAAAAUGACGGUACCUGACUAAGAAGCCCCGGCUAACUACGUGCCAGCAGCCGCGGUAAUACGUAGGGGGCAAGCGUUAUCCGGAAUUACUGGGUGUAAAGGGAGCGCAGACGGCAGUGCAAGUCUGGAGUGAAAGCCCGGGGCUUAACUACGGGUGUGCUCUGGAAACGGUGGAGCUAGAGUGCAGGAGAGGCAGGCGGAAUUCCUAGUGUAGCGGUGAAAUGCGUGGAUAUUAGGAGGAACACCGGUGGCGAAGGCGGCCUGCUGGACUGUAACUGACGUUGAGGCUCGAAAGCGUGGGGAUCAAACAGGAUUAGAUACCCCUGUA
rnacentral:rRNA from 1 species